rnacentral:rRNA from 1 species
CGUAAGGCGCCGAAUGAGUCAUUAAAAAUUAACAUCAUCCGAUCCCUAGUCGGCAUAGUUUAUGGUUAAGACUACGACGGUAUCUGAUCGUCUUCGAUCCCCUAACUUUCGUUCUUGAUUAAUGAAACAUCCUUGGCAAAUGCUUUUCGCAGUAGUUAGUCUUCAAUAAAUCCAAGAAUUUCACCUCUGACAAUUGAAUACUAAUGCCCCCAACUAUCCCUAUUAAUCAUUACGUCAAUCCUAGAAACCAACAAAAUAGGAUCGAACGUCCUAUUUCAUUAUUCCAUGCUAAUGUAUUCAAGCGUUAGCCUGCUUU